rfam:Catenaria anguillulae PL171 BCR44scaffold_405, whole genome shotgun sequence.
GCAUGGUUGGUUUAGUGGUAUAAUUGCCGCCUGCCACGCGGCAGACCCGGGUUCGAUUCCCGGACCAUGCA